rnacentral:rRNA from 1 species
AGAGUUUGAUCCUGGCUCAGGAUGAACGCUAGCUACAGGCUUAACACAUGCAAGUCGAGGGGCAGCAUUUUAGUUUGCUUGCAAACUGAAGAUGGCGACCGGCGCACGGGUGAGUAACACGUAUCCAACCUGCCGAUAACUCCGGAAUAGCCUUUCGAAAGAAAGAUUAAUACCGGAUAGCAUACGAAUAUCGCAUGAUAUUUUUAUUAAAGAAUUUCGGUUAUCGAUGGGGAUGCGUUCCAUUAGUUUGUUGGCGGGGUAACGGCCCACCAAGACUACGAUGGAUAGGGGUUCUGAGAGGAAGGUCCCCCACAUUGGAACUGAGACACGGUCCAAACUCCUACGGGAGGCAGCAGUGAGGAAUAUUGGUCAAUGGGCGAGAGCCUGAACCAGCCAAGUAGCGUGAGGGAUGAAGGCUCUAUGGGUCGUAAACCUCUUUUAUAUGGGAAUAAAGUUUUCCACGUGUGGAAUUUUGUAUGUACCAUAUGAAUAAGGAUCGGCUAACUCCGUGCCAGCAGCCGCGGUAAUACGGAGGAUCCGAGCGUUAUCCGGAUUUAUUGGGUUUAAAGGGAGCGUAGGUGGACAGUUAAGUCAGUUGUGAAAGUUUGCGGCUCAACCGUAAAAUUGCAGUUGAUACUGGCUGUCUUGAGUACAGUAGAGGUGGGCGGAAUUCGUGGUGUAGCGGUGAAAUGCUUAGAUAUCACGAAGAACUCCGAUUGCGAAGGCAGCUCACUGGACUGCAACUGACACUGAUGCUCGAAAGUGUGGGUAUCAAACAGGAUUAGAUACCCUGGUAGUCCACACAGUAAACGAUGAAUACUCGCUGUUUGCGAUAUACAGUAAGCGGCCAAGCGAAAGCGUUAAGUAUUCCACCUGGGGAGUACGCCGGCAACGGUGAAACUCAAAGGAAUUGACGGGGGCCCG